UAGAGUUUGAUCAUGGCUCAGAUUGAACGCUGGCGGCAGGCCUAACACAUGCAAGUCGAGCGGAAACGACACUAACAAUCCUUCGGGUGCGUUAAUGGGCGUCGAGUGGCGGACGGGUGAGUAAUGCCUAGGAAAUUGCCUUGAUGUGGGGGAUAACCAUUGGAAACGAUGGCUAAUACCGCAUAAUGCCUACGGGCCAAAGAGGGGGGCCUUCGGGCCUCUCGCGUCAAGAUAUGCCUAGGUGGGAUUAGCUAGUUGGUGAGGUAAUGGCUCACCAAGGCGACGAUCCCUAGCUGGUCUGAGAGGAUGAUCAGCCACACUGGAACUGAGACACGGUCCAGACUCCUACGGGAGGCAGCAGUGGGGAAUAUUGCGCAAUGGGCGAAAGCCUGAUGCAGCCAUGCCGCGUGUAUGAAGAAGGCCUUCGGGUUGUAAAGUACUUUCAGUUGUGAGGAAGGGUGUGUAGUUAAUAGCUGCAUAUCUUGACGUUAGCAACAGAAGAAGCACCGGCUAACUCCGUGCCAGCAGCCGCGGUAAUACGGAGGGUGCGAGCGUUAAUCGGAAUUACUGGGCGUAAAGCGCAUGCAGGUGGUUCAUUAAGUCAGAUGUGAAAGCCCGGGGCUCAACCUCGGAACUGCAUUUGAAACUGGUGAACUAGAGUGCUGUAGAGGGGGGUAGAAUUUCA
rnacentral:rRNA from 1 species